AUCACUUCUUGGCCUUUUGGCUAAGAUCAAGUUGUAGUAUCUACUGUUAUCAGUUUAAUAUCUGAUACGGGCCCUACCCGGGGACUAUAUAUUAAAUUGAUUUUUGGGAGAUGGAAUAGGGACUUGCUGGAUAUUAGGUGUGUUUUUAUUAAAGAGCUUAUGUUGAUUAGCUGUCAUCAGUUUUCUUUGACAUUAC